rnacentral:rRNA from 1 species
GACGAACGCUGGCGGCGUGCCUAAUACAUGCAAGUGAAGUUCAGUGGCGGACGGGUGCGUAACCCGUGGGUAACCUGCCCUCCUUUUUGGGAUAAGCCUUGGAAACGGGGUCUAAUACCGAAUAAAGGGGGAUGGGCUCGCGGCCUAUCAGUUUGUUGGUGGGGUGAUGGCCUACCAAGGCGGGGACGGGUAGCCGGCCUGGGAGGGUGAACGGCAACAUUGGGGAUGAGAUACGGCCCAGAAUACGACGGGAGGGAGCAGUGGGGGAUGUUGCAGAAUGGGCGAAAGUCUGAUGCAGCGAGGCCGCGUGGGGGAUGAAGGCUGUGGGGUUGUAAAACUCUUUGGAUAUCGAACGGGUAGGUGGAGAAGAAGCGCCGGCUAACUACGGGCCAGCAGCCGCGGUAAUUC